GAUGAAGGUCAUAAAAAGCUGCGAUAAGCUACGGGGAGAAGCAAAUAUUCUAUAAUCCGUAGAUAACCGAAUGGGAAAACCUGUAAAAGCAAUCCUUUUACAUCAUGCAUUGAAUAAAAUAGAUGUAUGAAGCGACACCCAGGGAACUGAAACAUCUAAGUACCUGGAGGAAAAGAGAAAGUAAAAACGAUUUCGUAAGUAGCGGCGAGCGAACGCGA
rnacentral:rRNA from 1 species